rnacentral:rRNA from 1 species
CGGGCUUGAACUGCACAGGACGGAUUCAGAGAUGAUGACUCCCUUCGGGGCCUGUGUGGAGGUGCUGCAUGGUUGUCGUCAGCUCGUGCCGUGAGGUGUCGGCUUAAGUGCCAUAACGAGCGCAACCCCUGUCUUCAGUUGCCAUCAGGCUAUGCUGGGCACUCUGGAGAUACUGCCACCGUAAGGUGCGAGGAAGGUGGGGAUGACGUCAAAUCAGCACGGCCCUUACGUCCGGGGCUACACACGUGUUACAAUGGCGUGUACAGAGGGCAGGCUCAUGGUGACAUGAGUCCAAUCCUAAAAGCACGUCCCAGUUCGGAUCGGAGUCUGCAACCCGACUCCGUGAAGCUGGAUUCGCUAGUAAUCGCGCAUCAGCCAUGGCGCGGUGAAUACGUUCCCGGGCC